AUUAAACGGAAGGCGGGAGAGGCUGUGAGUGAACUUUCUGUAGGUGUAGAUCUCUGUCUGUCUGUCUAAUUUUUCAGCCCUGAGAGUGCUUCACUUGUUGCUUACCUCUGAUUUGCUUGUAUCUACGGAAAAAUGAUCGGAUAAACCGGGUGCCACUUUGAGGAAGUAUUACUCAUUAAGCCUAUUUAUUGGGGUACGUAAUAUCAGUCGCACUAUCGCCGUUGCCCUACACGCCGGUAAGGAAAGAUGUUUUAGAAGCUCUAUAUAUAGACGGUUGUUAUAAUGUUACAAUUAACUGAAAAGGGAUAUCAGUUUAUGAUGAGGAAAUGAAUUCAUAUUGCUACGAGUAGUAUAAUAUUGAAAAGUUUGGCUCUGACAAUCGAGACGACAAUCGUAAGCUUAGCUGGCUUUUUUUGCGCAUUUUUAGUGACAGCUCUUUACCACAAUCCGCUCAGACGCUCGCUGGAAAAGAACGUGACAAGUGAUAAUCUAAAAACCGUUGCUCAUUGGCAGGUUCAGCCAUCGUUUUAAACUGCCGGCUGUCCUGCCGGAGGUGCCACCGGGGUCGCAGGGAGUUCCCAUAGGGAAAAACCCAUAGCCGGCUUCUCGAGCGGAGACAUAUCUUCGAAAUGGCAACCCCCUAGCUCCGAUCGCUACGGCUCGGGGAGUUCGUUCGCUUGCGCCUCUCGUCCCCGAAGCUGCUGCGCCAAUUCUAGCCUGGAUGGAAGAGCUCCGGGAGGCACUUCGUGUGGCACACGCAUGGUUUACGCGAACUGUGGCAGCGGCGACUUAAUGACAACGCGAGCCGCGAUGUUGAUGGCACGCACGCAGCAGUGGACUUGGCCGGGUAAACCGUCAUCUUCAGAAUCGCCACCAGCGCAUUGGCCGGUGAGUUGUCGUUGAGGCUCAAGGUACAGACAGAGCCUAUAUAGAACUUGCAGUGGUGAUAGUGUGCAAUGCUGAAGGGAAGGUCCAAGAAGCUCAGGACGGCUCAGGCCGCGGCCUCCGAUGGUAACGAGGAAGCAAAAGCAGAGCAAGAAAACCAUUUUUGAUAACAAUAAUAUCAUCACAAUGAUGUAUGCUAUCAAAGAUAAAUUUCUAGUGAGUGAAUGAGUGCGAUUUAAGCGUAUAUUUGCUAGAUAAGUCUACUUUUUAGCAUGUUAUUUUCGUUAAGGGUAUAGAGGACAUUCUCGAGAUCUGACUGCUACUAUGUAAUAUGGAUAUAAAUCAUAACCGAAUAAAUUUAUUAAUUGCGUGCAGUGAAGUUGAGCGCAUGAGACAGACACGUUAAACAGCAGGAGAUGACUCAAUGAGACCAGGAGUGGUAGUAGUGAAUCAACUGAAUUACACAACGCAACCCUAAAUAUGAAGUUACUGUAUUGUAGAUGAACUUCAGCGUACCUAUGCUAUUUCAAAAAAACGUUAAAAUAGAUAAGCGUGUCAAACAGUUGCUUCGGCAAUAGAUUUUUUAAACACCUCUUUUACUUCAGUCAUUCACUCAACGAAUAUUUACGUAAGCUGUAAAAUAGUGUACGGUAGUAUACUAUAUGAUGCUGGACUCUCGACGCCAGGACUCUGAUCAGCUGCUAGGAAGCUUCUGAUAUCUUUUUUUCGGGUUCAUUCUUUUUUUAUUAUGACAAAGGUGACAGCUAUCUGGCAGGAGGGGAGUCCUCAUAUCGCAGCGCUUUUAACUCUGCGAGUGUCAAUGACGUAAAAUAGUUGUCGUCUUGUCUUGUUUCAUUUGGCACGUUGUUCUAUUCAGGCUAGUUUGCAGAUCCAAUGGUUACUUAGCAUUUGAAUGAACGAAGAGUGAUGCAUGAGAAAAACGAAAAUGAAAAUAGUAAUGAUAAUCGUAAUGGCAAAAAAUAGAAGUAGCACAUUCUCAAAAGGCAGGAACAUUUGUGUUUUUCUGGAACCCAAUAGAGAAAAGCUACGAAAUGAAUGAAUUGAAGUAUAGAAAUCGCUUGUAGCCGGUCAAGUGGCGUCUUUACCUACUGACUACUCUUUCACUCAAAGGUCGUGUUCGCAUUCAUCUGGAUAUCAGUUAGAAUGGUGGUGUAGAUGGAACCUGUUGUAAAGCCUCCGACCAGCUUUCUAAAAAAAACGUUUAGCCCCAAUUUUCAGCUGUGGUAUCAUGAGCACGAUCAAUAAUGUUACGGUACUGUGUUUGAUGAUAGUACCUGAUCACAGUUUGGUAAAUAUCUAUGAAUAAUCGAACUAAGAUAGAACUUUUCAUAUGGCUAUUUGGCACGGGGAUUACCAUUAUCGCAACUCGGAGAGGGCUGCAUGGGCAGCAAGUAAAAUCAUUGACAAGCGGAAUCCAUUGAAUAAUUCUGCUUACUCUUAAGGUCUUUGCCUGUCAUCUUUGUCUUAACAAAUAUACUGCUGUAAGAAUCGCUUGUAGAUCGUAGUCUUUAUCAACAAUCUGCGUAUUUAUCGUUUCGUAUGGAAUCAGGGAGGCAACAUUAAUCCCUUUCCUUGAGCUUCGUUUUCAUCCGAUUCACGAUUGAACACGUAUGCUUGAAGUCGGACUUCGUUUGCCAGUGGUUGCUUGUCUGCCGCCGGCGUAGAUCUGACUGCGGUAGGGCGGGCCACCUGAGCCGCAAACAUCGGAUCUCAAACAGUCUCCCACUGGAGCAGGACCACCCCCAAAGGCUGCGUGCAUCUACCGUAUAAUAUAAACAAUGAUACGAAAGAAAGCAGGAACCGAUCAACCAAACGCUCCAAUGUUCAUGCGACCAUUUAGGCGGAGCAGCAAAAAAAGCCGAGACAAAAAAGCGUUAACAACGUCACAUUUGAAUGGCCGCAAUGGAGAAAACUGUCGGAUCUCAGAGUGCUCUGAACGAUUUUGAGAUUCACCAUUACGGGGGGUCUAAUAAAGCAGAAAAACGGUGUUCAUGCCUAACCUAAGCUUCGGUACUAGGCAAUUCAGGAGGAGGCCAUGGCCACUCAGGAAGAGCCGUAUUUAUGUGUAGCAUUUCUAUCACAGACCUACUAGCAACAAUGUUAGAUUAUAAAGGAACAAAAAAUGGCCUCUACGGAAAGUAGACAUACAAAAAGAAAGUGGAAAAACGAUUUUCGAAAUAAAAAUCGGCCUAUAAAGCUAACGUAAGUCGCAAGCAGUAUUAUGGCUUUUGAGGCGUUGUGCUGGCAGAAAAUUCACGCGGUUGUCAAGGCGCACACAUGUGUGUGGUCAUCUAGUGAAUUUAGCCCUGCAGAAGCAAUUGGCUAAAAAAGUGAUCCUACCAAAGGGUUAUUGAAAAUAGGUUAUUGUUCCAAUAAAUUAGCAACUGCUAAACCGUAAGGGACUCGCCAUUUUAACUACGAUUCUCUGUGUACCGUGUCUGAAGGCAAACUGAUCAGUUCAUCCAUGAAUUUUUUCCUUAUUCGCUUGUCUUGAGCUAGAUUUUAUCGUAUGUUCGGUAGAAAUUCAGCAAGAAAAGCCAAACUGUUUUAUUAGCUGAAUCAGCGAACCACCUCACGUACGAAAGGCUCAGUUCAAAAUAUUUUUUACUAGUUUUUAUUACUAGCCCAAUCCAGAAACAAGCGACGCCACACCUUCAUGAAUAAUAGAUAAUAACAAAAUAAAGAAAGACAUCUAACCAAAGUCAACUAUUAGAUUGUUAUUGAUUAUAUUGUUUCAUCACGUUCAUUGUCGUCAUCGCUGCAGUCGCAACAUUGUUUAAUGGUCUGAAACUGGGGGGUUUGAAGUGUAGUACAUAGAGAGACACACAUGCAUACGCACCAGGAUACAUGUGUCAUCAUUUCUGUUACUGAUGUUUGUAGUAAGGCAGGAAUAGAUGAAGUAGUUAUGCAGCAAUGUCGAUGUCUGGCAGAACCCAUCUGCCGAAGUUAAUCACACGCCGCAUGUUGUCUCGGUAGGUGUCAACGGCAACUUUGUGGUUUGGCUAGCAAAUAGACAUGCAGUAGCAGAGGUAUAGAGGCGUUACACCCGCAGGCAGAAUGAAAUUGCUAGUACAAGAAAUAAAAGAACAAAGGCAUCAGUUGCUAUUCCCUAUUGGUAAAGCAUGUUUCUAGAAGAAGGUCUCUGCCUUCAGCUACCGCAGCUUCCGAGAGACAAACGGCAUCGAUGCUGCCCGUUGUUGUUAUUGGUAACUGCUGCUCAGUGGCCAAAGGGCUGCGCCGCUAACCUACGCCGUGCGAUGCGUCAGUCUGACGAUGUGUUCCUGCUGUCGUUGUGGUACGACUGCGUGCGUACGCUCGUCCCAUCUACUGCCACUACAACUAUUAUAGUUACAGUUACGAACAGACUACGAUGAAAAAGCGGGACCCUACCGGACCCUGAAGGCUUCGGCCAAACCGAGUGCCUGUUUUUGUUUCUGCCUUUCUUUGAACAUGUGUUUUUCUGGUAGCUCUUUUCAUUUUUCUUCUUUCACUAGCCUCUAUCCCCUGCUUUUUUUUAUCGUUGUCUUCACCAUUGUCUACUCCGUGUUCUUCCCAUUAUCAUCAUCGUCGUCGUAGAUCUCUCCGACCUUUACAAACGAAAACAGGCACAAAAAAGCCUAGCUAACAGCAGCCGACCCCAUCACCUAACUGACGUCGAUUGCAUCGACGGCAAGAACACGACUGACAACCAGUCAAUUCCGCGAGGUCAACUCAAACCUCAACUUCACCAGGGGCGCUUCAACCAGCGCUAGUACAGCUGCUGGCUAGAUACUUACUGCCAUAACCCUUCGUCGUCUGACUUUCAACAGCUCGCUGUUGCUCCCAUCCGACAACUGCUUCUAGUACUUUGUGAAAUGUUGUAUAGCUGAACGCUACUAGCGCGCGUCACCAUCAUCAUACGUAUGCCAUAUCACUAUAUAUACCCGCGAAACACGCGUCACACUGCUCGGCCGGAGACACAGAACCUGUAUGUCUGCAUGUGUCUAUGUGCAUUUCUAUUACUUAGCGCUCAGACGAGACGCCGAGCGGAGCCUUUCUGUAAUGACCAUGGCGCUCCAAUGAUAGAGUCGUAUUGAAUUGUGUCAGAUCGCUUUUGAUCGAGCCACGACGCUGUAGAACGACGCAACAAACGAAAGCAACGAGGGUCUGUCUUCAUUUACUUCGGUGUUCGAUGACUGGCAUUGUUUUGUGCUUUUAUUAUGGGGCGGGUUCUCUUGUGCGUUCGACACGAGCGAGUGACUCGAACUGUUAGGGAACGACAAGACGAAAAUUACGUGGACAAGUAUUUUUUAUGGUUGAGGGAAGGAUCUAAUAGGCGAAAGAAGAGCCAGUGAAAAGCGACGAGCAAGAAAUGAAACAGGCGAUAAGGAACAAUCGUGAUUAGGACAACUGUUAUUUGGAGUGGCAAGAUUCUUCGAAAAAAUAUCACUAGUAAGUGAUAGACACUAAUAUCAGUGAUACUACACAGUCAAGCUGUACGCAUAAGUUUAUAGAAAUCAAGUAAGUUGGGGAAACUGGAUAUUCAGCACAAAAAAAAUACCGUUUGAUGUUGCAUAGGAAGACCAACAUCAGCCACUGCAUUAACAGCGACCAUGUAACAGUGAGAAAUAAAACGCGUCUUUUUCACAUCUGGAUUUUAAAGUAUUCCCAAAAUAGAUUACAGAGAAUAUUGAUGGCAUCAAUUAGUCGAUGUUGUUGGAUGAAUACUCAAUGAAAAUGUGCCAUGUAGUUCUUUUCGAUUUUUCGGAUAGAACUGUACGACAUAUAUAUAUAUCUGCACAGAAGUAUCUCGCUGAUUAGAUGUUUCGGUUUCCUUUUCGCUAGAAAGACGAAAAUAAUCAUUUGUAGAGUAUAAAAACAAAUCUAUCCUGUGUUCUGUGAAAAAUAGCCCAGCAAGUAUUGAAUAACUACUUCGAUUUGAACUUUUGUUGCACUAUCUUUUGGCUAUUUUAUCAUUUAUCUUUCUUAAACAUAUAGACAUAUAACAUUGCGCGCGUUCAUAAAGAUCUACGGCUACACUAUAUAAAUACAUACAGAGAUCCUAAUCCGCGGACGCAACAACGCUUCCUCGUGCCGUCGUUUAUGAUAGCCAAAAAUUUGUUUUCGUCCUCAUCAACAACGACAACGGUAACCUAACUUUUCUUCGUUAGCUACUCUCCUCACCGGUAAAUAUCAACGUAGAUAUUCAGCUUCUGCUUGGGAAUACUGCCAAGUGCCAUUAUCACCGUUAACGAACAAUAAAAACAAUGAAUAAACAUUUAUUUUCAACACUCCUAUCACUCCACUGGAGAUCGCGGUCCGUCUCCACCGCUCAAUCCAUUCCAAAUUAUGACUGCCGUACAGGUCGACAACCGCUACAAAGGUGGUAGACCCUUGAAAAGUAAAAUUUCGAUAUUAUUCUUGUUAAUAUUGUCAUCGUCGCUGUUUUAGUAAACAUAACGACUUGAAGGCUACAAGUAUAUAGAUAUAUACGCGCUUACUGUGAGGCAGCAAUUGAGAAGCGGCAUCAGGCAUAUACUAAUAUGUAAGAAGAUAAAGACGUUUUAAAUACUCGACCACGUCAGCCAGUGCCGAGAAUACAGAUAGAUCGAGCACGUCGCUGACUCUAAAACAAAAAAAAAAGAAAAGUAGUAGUCGUUCCUAUAUAUAGACGUCGUUGAUAUUCGGGUGCACUGAGUGAGUCCAAAAUGCGUGGAACAAGACAUGUGGGUGAAUAGACUGGCAGCUAGAAGCAGCCAGCGACGAUAGUACCUGAAGUAAGUCAGAUCCAGGUUAGCAUGACUCGUUGUUUUUUUUACUUCUAGUUUCGCCUGACUAUUCCAGACCUCGUCGGCUCCUAUAUCGAUCAAUGACUAUCUUCGAUAGAAGUGCUUGCAUGGCAUUUUAGUACCAGGUUCUACAUGACAAAUUCGGCUGACGACUAUCGGAAAUGGCGUGAAAACAUUGUAGUUGCAGUGGCUCGUGGCUGUCAGUC